rnacentral:lncRNA from 1 species
CGUUACUACGCAAUCUACCGGAUGCUCGACCUUUGGAGACUUACUCGCCUGUAGUAGAAGGAGUAAACGUGUUGCUUUGGGUUUUAGGUUUUGUUUGCGUUGUAGGAACGCGCAUGCAAAAAGGAAGUCCUAGGCGGAGGAACAGUGCUACCUAAAUUGGCAUGCAAACGGGAGACUAUGCGAAGCCUCGCAUCCUAUGGGGAAACAAUCACAUCACACAAAACAUAUAUCUUGAAAUAGAAAAAAUGCCACCAAGGGGCUCAAACAUUGCCUCCUAUCGAGGUCUUCCAGCUAAGAAACAGUAGAAAUAAAAGGGAAGAAGUAAAAUACCACACGGAUCAAGAUCCGAAGUUACAGCAAUUAAAGGAUAAGCGACCCUGAGAUUCUCCCAAGCUGAUGCCAUCAAAGAAAACCAAUCAGUACGGGAAAUCGGAAUAAACCUCCGGAGGGUAUCCCUGCGAGAAUAUGUGAGCCCUCACAAAAACUCAACAAAAGGGGUUAGGCAAACAGGAUGAAAUCAAAAGAUAACAAGGCCAUGGCAACACAAAGAACAGGUUAGAACAAAACGGAAUAAAAGCAGAUACUGUCACAUUCGCGACUGCUUCGCCUAGCGAAAGCCUAGCGAAGCUUCGCUGCGUGCUCGCCUAGCGAAGCGGCUAGCGAGCACCUGCGGGAUUUGGAUUUCCCAUUGGUACCUGCACGAUGUUAAAGAUUCCAGAUCCUAUGGCAUUCACCUCAUAAACGAAAUUGUUAAACAGUCAAGGCAUAAAUCACAUAUUCAUACACAAAUAUAACCCUGUGGGCCAAACCUGAGGUUACCUCAUAUAUUCAGUAUUCAAUCCGAGGCAUAGAGUAAUAGGAACAGAGGCAUACCUGAUGAGAGACCUGUUAAAAUUGGAAGACAAGGCCGGAUUGGCGAAGCAACGUUUAGGGUUUGCGUGAGGCGGAAUGAGCUUCUCAGGGCUGCCCGAAGGUUGCUGCAGAGUAGUUCCUAGGUUUGAAACUCCACGUGAACUCCAAGUCUAUUUCUCAGGGAAUUUCCAAGUGUCUGAAACCCUACUGAAACUCUUAUAUUUAUAGCUGAUUUUCGUGGACUUGUGGGCUUGGAAUGAGGGAGACCCAAGUCCAAAAUAAUUUGUUAUAUUUUAAUUAUUUAUUUAUUUUUCUUUUUUUUUUGGAAAAAAUGAAGGGUAAAUUUUGGGGUAUUACA